GGCCUUUCUCCUGUCACUGUGCUGGGACUUAAGAGCAACCCUAGAAUGGAUUAGCGAGCACUAGUUCCUGGGCUAAAAUGAGUCUCCAAGACGUUGGUCCUUGGAAGUCCAUGGACCAGAACACAGAAGUAUUUGCUGUUACCUUGGGGAGGUGAAUGGAGAAAAGGACCCAGCUCCUGAGUGUGCAACAUGAGCAUGGCUGUUGUGAAGACAAAGGAAUAACAGCAGUUGAGAUGCCUGGCCAAAGAGCCUCAGUGAAGAUGUUUUCUGGAAGAUGGUCUACAAAGUGUAAGUCUGACUGCGCAGCCUUCCUGUCUGAAACCCUCCAUUGGCCAAUAAAAUCCCAACUCCUUGCCAGAG